rnacentral:rRNA from 1 species
CAAUAGCGUAUAUUUAAGUUGCUGCAGUUAAAAGCUCGUAGUUGGAUUUCGGGUGGGAAUGGCCGGUCCGCCGUUUCGGUGUGCACUUGCUACGCCCACCUUGCUGCCGGGGACGUGCUCUUGAGUUCACGCUCGGGACACGGAGUCGGCGAGGUUACUUUGAGUAAAUUAGAGUGUUCAAAACAGGCCUACGCUCUGAAUACAUUAGCAUGGAAUAACACGAUAGGACUCUGGCCUAUCUUGUUGGUCUGUAGGACCGGAGUAAUGAUUAAGAGGGACAGUCGGGGGCACUCGUAUUUCAUUGUCAGAGGUGAAAUUCUUGGAUUUAUGAAAGACGAACUACUGCGAAAGCAUUUGCCAAGGAUGUUUUCAUUAA